rnacentral:rRNA from 1 species
UACGUAGGGGGCAAGCGUUGUCCGGAUUCAUUGGGCGUAAAGAGCGUGUAGGCGGCCAGGUAGGUCGGUUGUGAAAACUGGAGGCUCAACCUUCAGACGUCGACCGAAACCAUCUGGCUAGAGUCCGGGAGAGGAGAGUGGAAUUCCUGGUGUAGCGGUGAAAUGCGCAGAUAUCAGGAGGAACACCGGCGGCGAAGGCGGGUCUCUGGGCCAUAACUGACGCUGAGGAGCGAAAGCGUGGGGAGCGAACAGG